ensembl:snRNA U6 U6 spliceosomal RNA
GUGCUUGCUUCGGCAGCACAUAUGCUAGAGUUGGAACGAUACAGAGAAGAUCAGCAUGGCCUCUGCGAGAGAAUGACACUCAAAUUUGUGAAGCAUUCCAUAUUUAA